AUGUUCGAGUUCUAUUCAAAUCCCAAUCGUUUUAUUUCAAAUAUCACUCACACGAAUGCAAUCAAUUACAUUCAUACAUUUUUCAAGUCCAAUACCAUUGAUCUUGUUAUAAACUCAAACAUUUUUCUUUACAUGAUAUCAAAAGAAUCAUGCAAAAAAAGAUUACAUGUUUUCAUCGCGUUUCAAAGCCAAAUUUUGUUACCACAUCUAUACAAAAAUCUGGUUGUUGACCUUUAA